UACGUAGGUGGCAAGCGUUGUCCGGAUUUACUGGGCGUAAAGGGCGUGCAGGCGGUUUGUUAAGUGCAGAGUGAAAGCUCCCGGCUCAACUGGGAGAGGUCUUUGCAUACUGGCAAACUCGAGGGAGGCAGAGGAAAGUGGAAUUCCCGGUGUAGUGGUGAUAUGCGUAGAUAUCGGGAGGAACCCCUGUGGCGAAGGCGGCUUUCUGGGCCUUACCUGACGCUGAGACGCGAAAGCGUGGGGAGCGAACCGG
rnacentral:rRNA from 1 species